CCCUAUAUGUCAGAAUCCCACAUUCAAACCAGGCUUUCUUCCCGCACUUCUCUCAUUCUUGGCGCUCUUUCUUCUCGCUCUUUCUUCUCGCACUUCUCUCGUUCUUGGAGCUCGUUCUUGGAGCUCUUUCUUCUCGCGCUUCUCUCGUUCUUUGCGCUCUUUCUUCUCUCGCUUCUCUCGUUCUUGGCGCUCUUUCUUCUCGCGCUUCUCUCGUUCUUGGCGCUCUUUCUUCUCGCGCUUCUCUCGUUCUUUGCGCACGUUCUUCUCGCGCUUCUCUCAUUCUUUGCGCUCUUUCAUCUCGCGCUUCUCUCGUUGUUUGCGCACGUUCUUCUCGUGCUUCUCUCGUUCUUGGUGCUCUUUCUUCUCGCGCUUCUCUCGUUCUUGGUGCUCUUUCUUCUCGGGCUUCUCUCGUUCUUGGCGCUCUUUCUUCUCGCGCUUCUCUCGUUCUUGGUGCUCUUUCUUCUCGGGCUUCUCUCGUUCUUGGCGCUCUUUCUUCUCGCGCUUCUCUUGUUCUUUGCGCUCUUUCUUCUCUCGCUUCUCGCGUUCUUGGCGCUCUUUCUUCUCGGGCUUCUCUCUUUCUUGGCGCGCUUUCUUCUCGCUCUUUCUUCUCGCGCUUCUCUCGUUCUUGGCGCUCUUUCUUCCCGCUCUUCUCUCGUUCUUGGAGCUCUGUCUUCUCGCGCUUCUCUCGUUCUUGGCGCUUUCUUCUCGUGCUUCUCUCGUCCUUGGCGCUCUUUCUUCUCGCUCUUUCUUCUCGCGCUUCUCUCUUUCCCCUUGUUCUUGGCGCUCUUUCGUCUGGCGCCUCUCGUUUUUGGCGCUCUUUCUUCCCGCACUUCUCUCAUUCUUGGCGCUCUUUCUUCUCGCGCUUCUCUCUUUCCUCUCUUUCUUCCCGCACUUCUCUCGUUCUUGGCGCUUUCUUCUCGCGCUUCUCUCGUUCUUGGCGCUUUCUUCCCGCGCUUCUCUCGUUCUUGGCACUCUUUCUUCUCGCGAUUCUCUCGUUCUUGGCGCUCUUUCGUCUGGCGCCUCUCGUUCUUGGCGCUCUUUCUUCCCGCACUUCUCUCAUUCUUGGCGCUCUUUCUUCUCGCUCUUUCUUCUCGC
ensembl:lncRNA